GGGGAUUUAGCUCAGUGGUAGAGCGCUUGCCUAGCAAGCACAAGGCCCUGGGAUUAAGCCUCGGUCCCCA
rnacentral:tRNA from 1 species